GGGCAGGGCACCAUGGUGCUAUCUGAUCCCCUGCCUUGCUUCCGCCGGAUGCGGGCUCUCUCCACUCCUCAUGCAUCCGCCGUGUUGGUCCAAGCAGAGGACGAAGUCCAGCCCUUGCCAACAAGCUCAUAAUGAUUUCAGAAGUACGGUCUAAUGGAAGGGUGGAGGAAGAUUUUUGAAAUGGCAAAGUCGUCAGCAAGGACAUGAGACAAGAGGUCUGACCGAACUACGUCAGUCAACUACGUCAGGUGCACCUUGACCUUCUGCCUGAGCAGAUGAACUAGCCACUGCCCUGGAUGUUGUGUC